UUGGCUGUGUAACAAAAAUAUGAACACCUUAGAAGGGUUAUAUAUGUUUGCUAAAAAAUUUAGUUACACAAACCUUUGAAGUGCUCCACUAACUGAUGAACCAGCUGAAACAUGAUGAUAUCCUCCACCAAGAGAUCUUUGUCUUCUACGUGUUUCAAAGGCCUUAGACACCCAGCACUGGCCAGAUAAUCUGUAAUAAAUUAUUGUAUAGUAUGAACAACACAAGAUUAGAUAUAUUAAACAAACUGUUCUUUCCUGGAGGCCAUUAGGUGAUGCAUGAAAUUAUAUGAAUGACAUCUUUUAUUUAUGUGAUAGGGAAGGCAAGAAAGAGUCUAGCACUAGGACCCAGGCAAAGGGGCAGAGUCUAUAAAUAGGGGAGGGAAGCUCACCUGGAUCUUUCUUGCUGCAGCCAGACACACCUGAGUAGGCAGCUGAGGCCAGCCUUUGUUUGGUGCUUGAUUUGAUUCCAGUCACCUGCCUGUCUUCAACUGGGGGAGGGGAAUGUGCUUCUAAGUCAAGCAAGAUGUAAUUGGGAGAGCCAACCACAGUUUUUUCCCACUUAUGUUAGUUUGAUUGCGCUCCCACUAAGUUAUUGAAUGGGCCAUAUCUUGUGUUUCUGGCUGUAUUAAACGGGGGAACUGAAGGGUGGAGUAACCAUUCUGCAUGGGUGUUUUGUUUGAGUUUGGGGCAACUGUGUGUAGUUAAAUGUAGUGUUUUAGUGGUUUGAUUUAAUUUGAUUUGGUUAUAAUUUAUUUUGGUGCUCAACUCUACAGCAGUUUCCCUGGUAAUGCAGUCUAGUUCUGAAUCA